UACGGGGGGUGCGAGCGUUGUCCGGAAUCACUGGGCGUAAAGGGCGCGUAGGUGGCGUGAUAAGGGUGUGGUGAAAGCCCGGGGCUCAACCCCGGGUCUGCCAUGCCGACUGUCAGGCUAGAGUACUGUAGGGGCAGGCGGAAUUCCGGGUGUAGCGGUGGAAUGCGUAGAGAUCCGGAGGAAGACCGGUGGCGAAGGCGGCCUGCUGGGCAGUUACUGACACUGAGGCGCGACAGCGUGGGGAGCAACAGG
rnacentral:rRNA from 1 species